rnacentral:lncRNA from 1 species
UAGGAUUUGUAAAUCUUGUCAGGCCCAUUAAUAAAAAACUAAGGUUUAAUCCUGUAACACCCCAAAAUUUGCCCCCCUCAUUCAUGCAUUCAUUUUUAGGUCAUUUAACAUUUCACAUUGCAUUUCAUCAUGUCAAUCAGAAUUAGAUCCAAGAAGCUUGAAUAUCAUCCAAAAAAAAACGAAAAAAAAAACAAAAAAAAAAUUAAAUAAAUAAAUAAAUAAAUAAAAGAAAGACUUGG